UGACAGCAAAUGACAUCACUGGAAACUUUCCCUUGUACACUGUUCCAAAACCACCUCGCCUCUUUUUCUUUGAAACUGAUUCCGUAAGGUUUCUUGAAUAUCUGCAUAGAGUAUCUUGACGCUUGAAGAGCUUCGUAAUCCCCAAAAAUCUUGUAAUCCUUUUCACUUGAUCCUCUUUCUUUAUUUUGCUUGAUCUGUAGACAAGAUAUUUGCAACGACAGUUUGCUACAACAAAAAGAGACAGAACCAGCAUCCAAACUGGCAAUUCAAAAUUCAAAAUAUACCAAGUCAAGAAAUUUCUGCGUCUCUCCUCAACGAUAAUUGGAAUUAAGGGACGCUACAAAAGUCCACCUUCAACCUUAGUUUCCAGAUCAAUCUGUAAAAAAAGUUUUUAAGACUUGUUACACUACCGAGCUUGUGAAGUUCAUUACUUAUAGCCAACAAGAACGCUGCAAAUAGAGGAGCCUCAGAAGAGAUUCAAAUACUAAACAAGGAAGUUUUCAGUAUGCGGUGCAAGACAUAUAUGGGACUCGUUCUGAAGAUAGUCAAGAAGUAGUAAAACAGCCGAAGUACCGGGAGGUUGUAGGUUUGGGCUUUGUCAAAGCAUUCAGUUUUUCAUGUUUCCUGCGUUUGUUAUUCUUCAUCUACAUACUUGCCUCCUGCGCACAGUUCCCAAAGUCGGCUGGUCGCAAUUCAAUGGAAGAUACAAAAUCUCUGAUUGUCAAAUAUGUUCCAUUGAAGUGUCAUGUCAUACAUCUUCCUGCAAGGUAUUGGAGCGCACUGAAAUGAAGAUUGGGCAUAAACUUUGUCGCCAAGGCAAGCAGCUGAAUUCCAAAUAACCUCUUUUCUCCUGGGGGAGUUAGACUUGGGAACAAUUGAGGAAGCUAAUUCUUCGUAGUAGUGGUGGAUUGGGUUGUCGUAAUCUAUGUGAAUUGGAAGGGAGAGAUAACUGAGGUUUUUGUAAAGAGUUUUUGGCAAUCAGCCAUGGAGCUUGAGACGAUAAUCGUUUGAGAUUGGUAGUUGAUUUCAAUGAACAGAUACCUUGACGGAGAAUUGGAGCUCAAGCACAGGGUGUUUGCUUUUGAUCCAUUACAAGAAAUAUCAAUCCAGGAUAGCCACAGUGCUCGGGCUUGAUGCCCCCCCUUUUAAUCUCGGAAAGGGAAUGCGGUUGUUGGCCAUGGUUUCCUGCAUUGUGGGCAUGCACUUUCAUCCUCUUGUUCUGGUACUGCCAUAGCGGUGUUCCUGGCGAGGACAGGAGCAGGAGCAGGAAUUGGGAAGUAAGGCAUCUUUUUUGGUAAGUCUCUAGAGUUUCCGAUCAGAGAUAAUAUUAGCUCGAGGGUAUGUAAGUUCACAAUUUCCUUACUCUUUGGAGCACAAACAUAAUUUAGCUUAGCUGAAAUGAAAUACAUUCAAUUGAAAGGAGCUCUUGUAGUUUGGUCCAUGGCUUAUUGUCACGGUUCCUAGCCUAUCUUUGACUGACUUGGUCCCUACCUAUGUUGAUUGACCGACUUGGGCAAUAAUUUCCAGAUAAAAACGUUGUUAGCCACAUGUUUAGCGUUGUGGCAACCAUUCCACAAGUGGGUAGGGGUCAUGAUUUUGCUUCUUGCGUUUCUUCUAAAUUAUAUUCGUGAUUUCGUUCCUUUUGUUAAGCCGACUCCGUGGAAAGGUUUCAUUCUAAAGCUGCUCUUUGCCCUUGUUCUUGUGCUCUGUUCUGUAACUUGCCAUGGAACGCAAACAGCCACAUCUUCUUGCGGAGAUAUCCAUAACUCAGCUUCCCCUUUCGACCUUGAAAACCGACCCAGAUGUAUCUGUGAAUGGGGAUUUGAUCUUUCGUGCGAGAACAACCGUGCAGUACUGAACGUUAAACCUUGGAAAAUACUACGUGGCAGGCCAUCGACUACAACCGCCGCACAAUUCGCUCGUCGAUGUAGCAAUACGGGCGAAUGAUUGUUCCACUCCCUUCCUCUUCAUGUCCUAAUUGACGUUUUUUUAUUCAUUUGGAUAAACAUACAGCACUAGUAGUCUGAAUUGGCUGUGUUCGUGAGUUGUGAAAAUGGCAGUGAGUCUUCUCGCAAUACCUGCCUAGACCAUUCCCUGCUGCUUGUGAAAAUUCACACUGGUUCCUCCAACCUUUCUGCAAAGCAAUAUUCCUAUGUUCUGGUCGGAUACGUGAGGCCGGCAAUAUCCAAACUUGUGCAACGUGGACGUGAUUGGCUCCCGUUUCUGGUAUAAAUAAGCAGAACAUUUCCUUCUCGUCCAUCCACAAUGGGUUUGGGCUCAUGGAUUUUGAGCUACUUGGAAUUACAUGCUCAAAACUUGCAUUCGACAGCAAUGCUCGAGAGCCAAAAUCUCGCUGCCAAUUGCGCAAUUUUAUAUAUCGUUUCCUUUAGCCUCCAUGAUACUGUUUACAUUUCUGGGCGUAUUCAGACUUUCUGAUCCUAAAUGCUAAAUUAAACUUCACCUUGGAAUUUUGGACUUUAGGCCUAUAUUCUACUCCUCUCCUAAUUAGAUGGUACAAAGCUUGUGUCUCAUGUCUGUACCAUCAAGUCUUUUCUUGUGACUUAUUAAUUGUUCCUUGCUGUUGGUUAAUGGAAAGACGAAAGAAAUUUUUUUUUGGAUUAAAGUCGUCUAAGCGGAUUGUUCGUACUGAUCAAGUCUAACAUGAUCUCUGUUGCAAGUUGUGGAUAUCCAAUUGCAUUAUUAUUGCCUUCCAAGAUGCCUUCCUGGCCGGAUAGGGGAAAUGCUAAUUAAAGCUUAUUUUGCAUUUAGUUGAUCUUCAUUACUGGGUUUUGUUUUGUUGUUUUUUUACUGGUCUAGCGCACAGUUGACUCUUACUUUUAUUUAUGUUGUAGGAUUGAGUUUUUCUCGUAACCGGAAAAAAAAUUAGUAAGACUCCAAUCUUAAUUUGUGGUAGUUGAUAUUCAUCUUUCUCUUACUGUUUUAUUUUAUUUCCUAGAUUAAAUCAAUUACAAAGCUGAAUCUUACUAUCGUUUGGUAGUUUUUUGUUUUACAUGACCCUUUGGCAUUGGUGAAUGGACCUCUCUUUUUAAUUUCCUCUGCUUCAUAAAUAAACCAAUCAUGAAAAAAAAUAAUCUGGAAUAGGACACCGAAGGGCCAAAGAAUGCAUCGUUCUAAAUGAAUCUUUCCUUGCACGAACCAAUUUAUUUUGCCAUUUAGUGAUGAUGGCUGGACAAAGAAUUUUUUUCUUGAAAUUGGGAGGUGUGUUUGUAUCUGACUCCCUUACGUAGGCUAGUCACGAGUUAAGUCCUAGGGGGGGUGGGCAUGAAUUUGGGUUGUUGGAUUAGAGGAUCGGAAGAAUAGGAGUUGAAAUCAAUCACAAACCCGAGUAACGCCUGGGUGGUUCUGAAUUGGUCUGUAGUUCCACCUAAAUUUGAGAAAACUUGUAAAUAUCAUUACAAAACCAAAACUUAGAAAAUAGUUUGUAGCGUGAUAUCGUUUGUGUUGUGCUCAAAGAAAUAAUUAUCACUACACCACCACACAAAAGACAACCAACCGAUUUACGUAGUUCGGCGAGGAGAGAAAUCACAAUCCAUUAUCAACGAAUGGAUUACAACGGAGGAGACGUUCGAUCGCUUACCUCACCCCUCUCUCACAAUCUCUCUUCUGUCUUGCAUCUCAAUAUAACCUCGACAGCAAUCUGCUCUCAGCCCUCAGCAAACACACAUAGAAACUCGAAGCACCCUACAUCCCUUUAUUAGACAAGGAAAGGAGGUGUUCAACUCCUAAACAAAAACACCUAAGUUAUCCUAAUCUAACAGGAAAACAAAUAGAUAAAGACUCUCCAAGAGUGAGAUUAACUCGAGAGUUUCGUUCAACGUCACAUGGACAUCAUGUCCAUAAUGAGCUCAAUGGGCUUGGGCUUGGGCUUGGAUAAGGGAACUUGGACUCAUCAAGUGUGGUGCUUGGACUCAUCCAGAUGGGCUGGACCAACAAUCUCCACCUUCCAAGCCCACUAGAGGGUAAUCUGACGUUUUCAAGUUAUCCUUCCUGACAGCUUCUGAUCCCGCUCCCCAUAAAUCUGCAAGAUCGCAUCCGAGAUACCUAGUCUCAUCAAUGGGCUACUCCACUUCCCACCGAAGUGUAUGCACCUCCACACUAAGUGCCUGCCCUUCUCACCGACGCCUUGUAACACCCACCGGGUGCCUCUCUAACCGGUGUGCGGGCGCGUGUGUCCUCCCCGUGCGCGUGACAAGCAGGCGUGGACCUCCCUAUGCGCUGGCUGAGACUGAAUUCCUCCGCCGAUGUUCAAACGGCCGCGUGAGGGUACGUCCGGACUUCCGUUCUGACGGCUAAUUGGUGCUGGAGCUCCGAUAUUCACAAGAGGAAAAACCUAUGUAAUCAAAAUUAAUUUAAGAGCACUUUCACGGACACCCGAAUUUUGACGCUGGGCUCCGAAUCGCCUCCAUGUAACUCUGAUACAAUUGUGUGCUCAAAACUAGAUAUUAUCAAUCACACACAUAGCACAAAAGACAACAAAGAUUUACGUGGUUUCGGCCACCGAUACCUACGUCCACGGAGAAGAAAUCACACAAUCCACUAUUAAACGAAUGAUUACAAUGGAGGAGAUCGAUCGCCACUCACACCACCCUCUCUCACAAUCUCUCUCUUCUUGCCUCUUAAUCUACCCGCAACAAACAAUCUGCUCUCAGCCCUCAGCAAACCACAUAGAAAAUAAAUCUAAGCACCCUAACCAUCCCUUUAUACACCAAGGAAUGAGGUGUUCAACUCCUAACAAAACCCUAAUUGUUACCUAUCUAACUAGGAAAACAAAUAGACAUAGACUCUCCAAAGUUUCUAGAUAACUCGAGAGUUUUCAUCACCGUCACAUAGACAAUCCAUAUGACUCCAUCAGGGCUUGGGCUUGGCUACUGACUUGGACUUGGAUUCAUCCAAGUGGGCUUGGACUCAUCCAGAUGGGCUGGACUCAACAGUUUGGCAAAUCCAUUAUAACUAUAGCAAUUAUAGUACAAGUUCACCGGCAAUAAAGGUCAAACCUAAAACCUUUUUUUCAGUUAGAAGGAAAGAAAUGGGUUAGGGUGUCUGAUCUUAUUGAAGGUGCGCAUAAUAUCUUUAGAAUGGGUUGGGAUGAUCCAGUUGAUUUCUUUUUAGGCCUUCGGUAAGACUAAUUGAAAUUAAUGCUUCUUUAAGUGUUGGUUGAUCUUCCCUCACUACUUUUUUUUGUGAUUUUUUUCUUUACUAACUGCUUUAUCGUAUGACUGAAUCUCUUUCCUAUCUUUCAUUGUCUUAGCGGUUAUUUUCUUAAUAGUCUAUGGUAAGACCAAUUAUCUCUCAAUUUCUCCCUCUUCACUAUCAAUUAAUGAAAAUUAUAUAGGAAGGAAAUGAGGAACUAAAUAUAAUGCGUUAUGGGUAAAGAAAAAUAUGAAUUUUGACCACAAUAUUCGCUCCCAUCAUAAUAGUUUGUCCAUCUUUUCAACUUGAAAUAUCCCAAGAUAUAUGUUCCCUUCGAAAAAUCAAAGCAUAAAACUUGUUAGUAUUUCUAAACUAUGCCUUACAAGUGGUUGUGGAGAUAUAGGGGAAAUUCUUGGAAGUCACUACUUUUUGAUUUGUUUUUGAAAAUGCAUGUUCUUGCAAAAGGUUGUAACUCUGUAAAGGGACAAAUAAAUUGAGUUGGAGGGAGUAUCUUGCAAAUUUGGUGAUAGCGUCUAGGCAAAUUUUUUCCUCUUCUUAUUGGUUAAUCUUGUGAUUUUUUUCAUAUGACAGGGUUGGGGGUGAUGCUUGUAAUUACGACUUAUAUGAAAAACCAUGUGUGUGUGGGGUUUUUUUUUUAAUCUAUAAGUUUAGAAGAAGAAAUUAUCCAUGUUUGAUAGCCAUCGAAGGUUUCCUACGAAAAGCCAGAAUAACUCAUGCCAAUUAGCUACUCUUAUCAGACAAAGAAAAUGACCAAAGGUUUCAAGGGACAAGUUGCAAAGGAGGUACGGUUUGGUAUAUAAAGGAAAGAUUAGAAGUGGCCGUCUUGUAGCGAUAAGGUAUUGGGCAAGCCCAAAGCCCAAUGGGCAAGAAUUCAUCAAUGAUGAAGUGCACCAUAGGACGGAUUCAUCACACUAAUGUGGUUCACAAAAACUAGUUGGAUAUUGUGCUGAGCGAUCUAAGGUGCUCUUGUUUACGACUUCAGCCUAAUGGGUCUCUUUGAAAAAGUACAUCUUUCUCAAGCAGGAAACUAUCUCCUUGCGUGCGAGCAAAUUAUGAGAUCUCUCUUGGAGUGGCUGCGGGAUUGAAUAUUUGCACGGGGUUGUGUGUGACAUUGCAGAGAUCCUGCAUUUUGAUAAUCAAGCCUCCACAACAUUCUACUUGACGAGGAUUUUCACUCCUAAAGUUUCUGACUUUGGGCUUGCAAAAUGUAUCCAAAAACGGGAGGAUAGCAUCGUGUCGCUAACUGCAGCAAGAGGAACAAGGGUAUAUGGCUCCAAAAUUGUUUUACAAAAACAUUGGAGGGGUUUCGUUACAAAGCUUGAUGUGAUAGUUUUGGAAUGUUGUGAUUGGAAAUGGUAGGAGGCGGAGGACCAUUUUAAAUGACCUUGAUGAUCAUACAAGCCAAAUUACUUCCCUUCGUGGAUUUACGACCAAUCAAUGAGGGAGAGGGCCAUAGAAAAUGGGAGAGACCAGAAGAGGAAAGGGUGAUGGGCAGAAGAUGGGACUAGUAGCUUUAUGGUGCAUACAAAUGAAGCUAGUGAACGUCCUCGAUGGACAAAGUGUUAAGAUGCUUGAGAAAGUUGAACAGUUGCGGGAUGCCUCCCAAGCCUUUUCUGUGCCGAGAAGCACAGCUGAAGAUCAGGAAAUCAACAUCUCCGUCGCAGGUACCUAUUUCCUCCUCAUUUACAUUAAGUUUUAGAACAAACUUCUAGUUUCUAUACCAAUCUGCUCCCUUUAAGGUUGUAUUCUAUUUACUUGAACGGUUUUCAUAGUUAAAACUAUCUUUGAUUGCGGCCUAUAACAUUCUAUUACCAUAGUAUGGAAGAUUUUUGUUUUAUUGUGUUAGUUAUUGCAACAUUGGUCAAGCUAUCGAGCCAUGAUGAUUAGGGAAUUUUUUGCUUAUUUUUUCCUCUUUGAGUUCUUUGUUGAAGGUAAAAUUAGUCAAUGCAUCAUUGUGAAUGAUCUAUAAUCGUAAGAUGCGAAUCAAUGACUGUUUGGCCUUUAAAUCUUUUAACCUGCCUAGAAGAGAAAAUGGGAGAUCACUCCCUUCCAAAGCUUUUAAAACUAGAUAGCAAUAGCCUCGUUUUUUGAAGUGAUGAGUAUUGAUUCUUCUCAUAGAAAUUAAUUAGAGCACAUUUUUUAAAAAAAUUUUUGUUUGGAUUUGGUCAGGUAAGAGCAUCAGUUUUAACUCGAAGGGACUGUAACUAAGUGCUCCAAAAAAAAAAAAAAACAAGGUGGGUUAUAAAUGUUAGUAACUAUACUGACCUACCUGAAGUUUAUCAUAAAUACAGAAAUCACCCCUGUACUUUGAAAAAUUACACUGACCUC
rnacentral:lncRNA from 1 species